rnacentral:rRNA from 1 species
GGAUUCCCCUAGUAACUGCGAGUGAAGCGGGAAAAGCUCAAAUUUAAAAUCUGGCAGUUCUUGCAGCUGUCCGAGUUGUAAUUUAGAGAAGCGUUAUCCGCGCUGGACCGUGUACAAGUCUCCUGGAACGGAGCGUCAUAGAGGGUGAGAAUCCCGUCCAUGGCACGGACUCCCAGUGCAUUGUGAUGCGCUCUCGAAGAGUCGAGUUGUUUGGGAAUGCAGCUCUAAAUGGGUGGUAAAUUCCAUCUAAAGCUAAAUAUAGGCGAGAGACCGAUAGCGAACAAGUACCGUGAGGGAAAGAUGAAAAGAACUUUGGAAAGAGAGUUAAACAGUACGUGAAAUUGUUGAAAGGGAAACGCUUGAAGUCAGUCGCGUUGUUCAGGGAUCAGCCUUGCUCUGCUUGGUGUACUUCCUGUUCAACGGGUCAGCAUCAGUUUCGACCGCUGGAAAAGGGACGCAGGAAUGUGGCAUCCUCGGAUGUGUUAUAGCCUGUGUUCGUAUACAGCGGUUGGGACUGAGGAAUCAGCACUCGAUGCUUGGGAUGCUGGCAUAAUGGCUUUAAGCGACCCGUCUUGAAACACGGACCAAGGAGUCUAACAUGCCCGCGAGUGUUUGGGUGGAAAACCCGGACGCGCAAUGAAAGUGAAAAGUUGGGAUCUCUGUCGUGGAGAGCACCGACGCCCGGACCUGAUGUUUUCGGAAGGAUCUGCGGUAGAGCGUGUAUGUUGGGACCCGAAAGAUGGUGAACUAUGCCUGAAUAGGGCGAAGCCAGAGGAAACUCUGGUGGAGGCUCGUAGCGAUUCUGACGUGCAAAUCGAUCGUCGAAUUUGGGUAUAGGGG